rnacentral:sRNA from 1 species
GAUGGACUUUUGGAGCCUUUGGCCUUGGUUUGAGGGUGGGCACCCUCAGGGCCCUUGAGGGGUUUCAGCCCCAGCAUCUCACAGGUAGCCAUCCAUCCAGGACAGAGAGGUAGGAGCACAACACUGGGAGAGACGAGCUUCACAUCCUCGUGAGCAUAACACAUGCUCUCAGAACCCAGGGAGCAUUCUAGCUGUAGAAGAGAGGACAGCAGGCCUAUCCUGGUCUAAUCCUCAGCUGUGAAGAGAGGACAGCAGGCCUAUCCUGGUCUAACCCUCAGCUGUGAAGAGAGGACAGCAGGCCUAUCCUGGUCUAACCCUCAGCUGUGAAGAGAGGACAGCAGGCCUAUCCUGGUCUAACCCUCAGCUGUGAAGAGAGGACAGCAGGUCUAUCCUGGUCUAACCCUCAGCUGUGAAGAGAGGACAGCAGGCCUAUCCUGGUCUAACCCUCAGCUGUGAAGAGAGGACAGCAGGCUAUCCCUGGACAUUAAGAAGCUCCUGCAUGGAGGACUCUAACUUCAUGUUCUUUCAGUGCUUACUCUGUCUUGUGUUAUACGAAUGAUCCCUUACACUUGCAUGGAAUGUUAAUUUGCCAAAGGCCUCCCAAAAUGUAGGGUCUGAGCAUUAUAAAGACACCGUCUGAGAGAAUGAAAGGCAGCUCCAGCCAAGAAAGACUGAAUGACCUGAUCUGCUUGGGCUCUGGUGCUUGUUGUUUACAAGAGCGUCUGACUAUAUAGCGCAGGCUAAUAUCCUGGCUCGGUGUCCCAAGUGCUAUGCCGGGACAGUUGGCCUGUGUUCCAGAAGGAGUCUCACUUGUUGCCCAAGCUGACAGAAAACUCAAGACUCUUUUGGCUUCAUGACUCCUCGGUUCGAUGCACGUAGCACCAUGUAUGGCACUGACGCUCUUUGCUCUAUGGUAGUGCAGAGUUUUGGAGGUUUGGGGGUGAGAAAGUCAAGAGCGGGUGGCAGGCAGUUCGGGAAAGCUGGCUGUGGGUUUACAUUACAUUCCACGAGGAGCCCGAGAAAACAACUUCCUUUUAAAUUGUAAGCGGCCUGAACUGCACUUCUUUACGUGCAGUUGGGAACAGGGUGCCAUUGGGGACCCCAGUGCUUGGAGACGGAGGCCAGUCUCGUCUACAUAUUAAGUUCCAGGGCAGCUGGGGUUGUACAGCAAAACAUGCCCAAAAAAUUAAAACUAUUUUAUGUAACUUUGUGUAGGGUGAUGUCAUACAGGUGAAGGCAAGUACAAGAUAGAACGA